GUGGGUACAGUUCAGUGGUAGAGUGCAUGCCUAGCAUUCAUGAGGUCCUGGGUUCAAUCCCCAGUACCUCCA
rnacentral:tRNA from 1 species